CCCCAGAUGUUGCUGAACUACAACUCCCAUGAUUCCCUGGAUAUCUGUUUCAUAGAAAGAAUCAUGGGAGUUGUAGUUCAGCAACAUCUGGGG
rnacentral:miRNA from 1 species